rnacentral:lncRNA from 1 species
CUCCAGGGUUUGAUAAGAAUCAUGAAGAACCUUUGUCCUGCUUUGUCUUCUCUGACCCCUUUUGUACUGAUACCUGCUAUAGAGCUAAGUCUAGGGAAAACUGUUAGACCGAAGAAAGCAUAUGAACAUUUCUGUUAAUCCUAGCAAAAUUCCACUGAAACAAACCUAACUGGCCAUGGUGGUGCUGACCUGUAAUCUCAGCACUUGGAGACCAGAGAUAGAAAGAACAUGAAUUCAAGUCCAGUUUGGGCUAUAUAGUAAUUUCAAAGCCAGGCGGGACUACUGUGUGAGAAUCUAUCUCACAACACACAGAUAUAAUUGUAACUCCUAUUAGAGAAUGUAAGUGAAUGAAAAUGGGCCCCCUGGAUUAAGAUUUAUAAUACUUGAACUCUAGUUGGUUUGGGGAGGCUGAAGAAGUGUGGCCAUGAUGCAGGAAGCAUGUCACUAGGGGUGGUCUUUGAAGUUUCAGAAGAUUAAUGGAAUUUCAAGAUAGCACUCUGUUUCCUGUUUGUGGGUUGAGAUACGAGACCUCAGCUGUUGUUUCAGCACCAUGCCUGCUUGCUGCCAUGCCCCCCACCAUGAUGGUGAUGGACUCUUAUCUCUUUAGAUCCUAAGCCCCAAUUCUAUAAAUUGCCUUGACCAUUUACUCACAGUAAUAGAAAAGCGACUAAGACAAAGAGUAUAUUUAACAAGCUGGUUACAUAGGCCAGUAUAACAGCACUUGGCAAGCUGAGGCAGGAGGAUCAUGAGUUCAAGACCAGUCUGUUUUUUAUAAAGAGACCGUAAGAGAUAGCACAAAUAGGACAAUGUUGCCAAGUGUGGUGAUUUGAUGAGAAUGACCCUAGUAGACACAUAUGUUUGAAUACUUGGUCUCCAGCUGGUGGAACUGUUUGGGAAGGAUUAGGAGGUUUGGUCUUGUUGGAGGCAGAAUGUCAUGAUAGUGGGCUUUGAGGCUUCAAAAGCUUCCCAACACCUCCAGGACUCUUUGUUUCGUACUCAAGAUAUGAGCUGUCAUCUAUUGCUGACACCAUUCCUUCACUUCAUCAUCAUGGACUCUGGAAACUUAAGCCCAGUUAAUACCUUCUUUGGAGAAGAAAAACUUUGGAUAUCAUCAAAAUUGAUCAAGAUUCGAGUUGAAAAAGACAACCCUCUCGACAAGGACGACUGACAGCCAAUGAACACCUGCCUGACGAGAAUCCCUGGAUGCUCUGGGAAAGGAAUUGGGCCAUACCUCUUGGACUGCACUGGAUCCAACUUACUCUGUUUCAACUGACAUUCCGACCAGAGCUUUGAGUACUGACUUCAAUCAAGUUGAGGAUUUCAACCUAGAUCUUCAAUCAAGCAAAUCCCAUCUAACAUGGACUGGAGAUAACCCAUU